GGAAAUGUAACUCAGUGGCAUAGUGCUUGCCUCGCAAGCAUGAGGCCAUGGGUUCAAUCCCCAGCACCUCAA
rfam:Heterocephalus glaber contig231453, whole genome shotgun sequence.